CUACGGGUGGCUGCAGUGGGGAAUAUUGCACAAUGGGGGAAACCCUGAUGCAGCAACGCCGCGUGGAGGAUGACGCAUUUCGGUGUGUAAACUCCUUUUAUAUAGGAAGAUAAUGACGGUACUAUAUGAAUAAGCACCGGCUAACUCCGUGCCAGCAGCCGCGGUAAUACGGAGGGUGCAAGCGUUACUCGGAAUCACUGGGCGUAAAGCGCGCGCAGGCGGCCCCUUAAGUUGGAUGUGAAAGCCUACGGCUUAACCGUAGAACUGCAUCCAAAACUGAGGGGCUAGAGUCUGGGAGGGGAAGAUGGAAUUAGUUGUGUAGGGGUAACAUCCGUAGAGAUAACUAGGAAUACCAAAAGCGAAGGCGAUCUUCUGGAACAGUACUGACGCUGAGGCGCGAAAGCGUGGGGAGCAAACAGGAUUAGAUACCCGAGUAGUC
rnacentral:rRNA from 1 species